rnacentral:misc_RNA from 1 species
GAUGAAGAACGUAGCAAAAUGCGAUACUUGGUGUGAAUUGCAGAAUCCCAUGAAUCAUCGUGGUUUUAAUGCAAGUUGCACCCGAAGCCAUCCGGCUAAGGGCACGUCUGCCUGGGCAUCACGCAUCUCAUUGCCACCCCCUCCUCCCAAUCCUCCAGGAUGCCGGCUGGCAGCGGGGCGGCGGAUGCUGGCCUCCCGUUCCCUCGCAGUGCGGCUGGCCCAAAUGUAAGCCCCUGGACAAGGGACGUCACGACUUAAGGUGGUUGGACAUGUUUGUUUGUUUCAUUCAUUGAGGAGCCGUGAUGGCCCCCGGGGCCCCCUCUUCGAUCCCAUUGAGAGCAGUGACCUCCGACUGCGACCAGGCAGAAUCACCCGCUAAGUUUAAGCAUAUCAAUAAGCGGAGGA